GGGCCCGCACAAGCGGUGGAGCAUGUGGUUUAAUUCGAUGAUACGCGAGGAACCUUACCAGGGCUUAAAUGUAAGUUGCAUAGAUCAGAGAUGGUCUUUUCUUCGGACUACUUACAAGGUGCUGCAUGGUUGUCGUCAGCUCGUGCCGUGAGGUGUCAGGUUAAGUCCUAUAACGAGCGCAACCCCUAUCGUUAGUUGCCAUCAAGUAAAGUUGGGAACUCUAGCGAAACUGCCGGUGCAAACCGUGAGGAAGGUGGGGAUGACGUCAAAUCAUCACGGCCCUUACGUUCUGGGCUACACACGUGCUACAAUGGCCGGUACAGAGAGCAGCCACUACGCGAGUAGGAGCGAAUCUUCAAAACCGGUCUCAGUUCGGAUCGCAGUCUGCAACUCGACUGCGUGAAGCUGGAAUCGCUAGUAAUCG
rnacentral:rRNA from 1 species